CUGGGCAAGACCGGUGCCAGCCGCCGCGGUAACACCGGCAGCCCGAGUGGUGAUCACUAUUAUUGGGUCUAAAGGGUCCGUAGCCGGUUUAAUCAGUCUUCUGGGAAAUCUAAUCGCUUAACUAUUAGGCUUCCAGGGGAUACUGUUAGACUUGGGACCGGGAGAGGUAAGAGGUACUGCAGGGGUAGGAGUGAAAUCUUGUAAUCCCUGUGAGACCACCAGUGGCGAAGGCGUCUUACCAGAACGGGUCCGACGGUGAGGGACGAAAGCUGGGGGCACGAACCGGAUUAGAUACCCGGGUAGUCCCAGCUGUAAACGAUGCUCGUUAGGUGUCAGGAACGGUGCGACUGUUUCUGGUGCCGAAGGGAAGCCGUGAAACGAGCCACCUGGGAAGUACGGCCGCAAGGCUGAAACUUAAAGGAAUUGGCGGGGGAGCACUACAACGGGUGGAGCCUGCGGUUUAAUUGGACUCAACGCCGGAAAACUCACCGGGGGCGACAGCAAUAUGUAGGUCAGGUUAAAGGUCUUACCUGAAUCGCUGAGAGGAGGUGCAUGGCCGUCGUCAGUUCGUACUGUGAAGCAUCCUGUUAAGUCAGGCAACGAGCAAGACCCGUGCCCACUGUUACCAGCAUAUCCUUUAUGGAUGAUGGGGACUCUGUGGGGACCGCUGCUGCUAAAGCAGAGGAAGGUGCGGGCUACGGUAGGUCAGUAUGCCCCGAAUCUCCCGGGCUACACGCGGGCUACAAUGGUUGGGACAAUGGGUAUCUACUCCGAAAGGAGUUGGCAAUCUCUUAAACCCAAUCGUAGUUCGAAUUGAGGGCUGUAACUCGCCCUCAUGAAGCUGGAAUCCGUAGUAAUCGCGUUUCAACAUAGCGCGGU
rnacentral:rRNA from 1 species